rnacentral:rRNA from 1 species
AACUUUUGGCUUUGUUGCACCCGGACCAUGCCCUUGUGGUGUGUUGCUCUGGUGUGCACAAGUCAUUCUUCUGGAAAGCAUCUCUGCCCUUAAUUGGGUUGGUUUUGUAAUUCAGAUCAUUUACUGUGAGAAAAUCAGAGUGUUCAAAGCAGGCUCUAAUGCUUGUAUGGUUCAGCAUGGAAUAAUAAGAUAAGACUUCGGUUUUAUUUUGUUGGCUAUAAGACCAAAGUAAUGAUUGAAAGGGAUAGUUGGGGGUGCUAGUAUUUAGUGGUCAGCGGUGAAAUGCGGGGACCCAUUAAAGACUAACUUAUGCGAAAGCAUU